UACAGAGGGUGCGAGCGUUGUUCGGAAUUACUGGGCGUAAAGGGCGCGUAGGCGGUUUAGUAAGUCAGAUGUGAAAGCCCGGGGCUCAACUCCGGAAUUGCAUUUGAAACUGCUAGGCUAGAGUGCAGUAGAGGAUGGCGGAAUACCUAGUGGAGAGGUGAAAUUCGUAGAUAUUAGGUGGAACACCGGUGGCGAAGGCGGCCAUCUGGGCUGUAACUGACGCUGAGGCGCGAGAGCGUGGGGAGCAAACAGG
rnacentral:rRNA from 1 species